rnacentral:SRP_RNA from 1 species
CUGGCUGGGUCGGAGAGCUUGAGAUGCCCCGAUACUCGCCACCACCUUUGCGGGAGGGCCAGAGCCAGCAGUCCAGCCCAGU